rnacentral:rRNA from 1 species
UAAGGGAUAUUGCGCAAUGGGCGAAAGCCUGACGCAGCAACGCCGCGUGGAGGAUGAAGGGUUUCGGCUCGUAAACUCCUUUGGACCGAGACGAGCGAGGACGGUAUCGGUCAAACAAGUCACGGCUAACUACGUGCCAGCAGCCGCGGUAAAACGUAGGUGGCGAGCGUUAUCCGGAUUUACUGGGCGUAAAGGGUGUGCAGGCUGCCCGACAAGUGGUGUAUGAAAUCGCCCGGCUCAACCGGGCGGGGUUAUGCCAGACUGUGGGGCUCGAGUGCGGGAGAGGGGCGUGGAAUUCCGGGUGUAGUGGUGAAAUGCGUAGAGAUCCGGAGGAACCCCAGAGGCGAAGGCGGCGCCCUGGCCCGCAACUGACGCUCAGACACGACAGCAUGGGGAGCGAACGGGAUUAGAUACCCCCGUAGUCC